rnacentral:lncRNA from 1 species
AAGUUUGAACCUUUAGAUGGAAGCCAUGUUCAUCCACUAUGUGUAUAUAAAAAAUAUCUCAUUUUAGUUCGUGAUUAAGAACUAUUUCUAAAAAAAACCUUAUUAUAACCAUAGAUGGAUUUUGCAUUCAUAUUGAGAAAUCAUAUUUUCAAGAAAAGGGUAGUAUCAAUUUGAAAUAUAUGUGUACAUGUAUAAGAUAUUCAUAUAGACUAUUAAAGUAUCUGUUAGAAUCCAUAUUGUGUGGAGUUUGUUUUAUUAUUGAUGAUUAAUUUUAUCGUGUAAAUUUAUAACCGUGAUUCUGGCCAAAUAUCUUAAUAAUCAAAAAUCUUCUAAGAAUUCAAUCACUUGGAAUAUUGGUACGUCCUCUUUUGAGACUUAAAGAAGGCAACAAAACUUUCUUAUGCUUGACAACGUGGCUUUUGAAUUGAGUUUUGCAGAUUUUUUUUUCUUUAAAUAAAUAAUUUCAAUAACUUCUUAACCUUAUUAAAGUUUGAUGACAAACAAAAAAUAAUUUUUUUUAAUUGCGGUUAGUGACAGGUUUUUUAAAAAAAAUGGUCGUUUGCUUCCAAAUUUAUAUAUGCACAUAUUAAUUAGCUUUUAACUUCUUCUUUUUUUACUUAAUAAUAUUUUCAAGUUUAAACUACUCAAUUAUAAGCUAUUGUCUUGUAAUACCUUAAAUGUUUUCGAUAAAUUAUUUAAUACUUAUUAACCUAAGUUCGGCCGGUUAAUCGUUAUUAACAAAUUUUAAAAGCUGUUUUAAAGCCUUCCUUUUAAAAUAUUUAAAAAUCUUAUUUAGAAUCUUAAGGUUAAGACCAUAAGACAGAGUUUGACUUAAGCUAUAAAAAUAGGUGUCCUAAUUCACCUUAGAAUUAAUUAGGUGGCGAUUCUUUUAAAAAUUAAUUCAACCUCAGAAUCGCUAAUAUGUUAUACUCUAAUUUGACCUGGUUUAAAUGGGGUAUAACAGCUUGGCGACUCUGCUGGGGAUUUUAGAUUUUAAACCAUAACAAACUUAGGUUAAUAAAAAUGUCUUUUGUAUUUUGUAAAUAUUUUUGUUUGUUACCUUAUUUGAAAAUGUGCUACUCCUUAUAAAAUGUGAUUACUAUCUUUUAUAAACUGUCAUUCCGUUUUUACUUCCUCCACUUUUAGAAAAUUCACACUGAGCACACACCUAGCGGUUACGCGGUUUGCGGCCGUGCACUUUUUCAAAAAAUACCUUUUAGGGGAAAGUUUGUGGGUAAGUCGAUCAGCUGUGCAAUUGACAGUCACAACUUUCCACUCUCAAGUUGUCCACUUGGGAAAAGACCAGUCUAGAAAACCCACUCUUAGUCGACCUAGGAUAGAGCUAAACCAAAUCCCUUCUUAGGGGCAUGCAUCACGCAACCUUAGAAGGCUUAAUACCUUAGGUGUGUUAAGUCCAUUAGUUAGCCUUAUCCAAAUGUCCAAGCGGGUUUAUAACCCCGAGUGACACCUUCCUUUAUGUGCAUUAUUUGAAAGAUAAACACACUGCUUAUGUGGACUAUUUACUCCUAAAAAGGAAAAACGGGUAGGAUUAACCUUUUCUGUAAUGCAGGAAAUCAUGAAUCAAGUUGUUUACCCAAAGAUUGGCAUGGUGUUGGACAUCCCUCCCAAACUAAAGGCAUGGUGGAGAAACUUAGGAGAGAAUGCACAGUACCAAGUACGAAAGAAGUUGGGUCACCUACCGUUACUUAUGGAAGUCACAGCAUGUAAGGAAGUAAUUGAAGCAUCAGUCACCUUCUGGGAUGAAGAAAGAGCCGUAUUCAAAUUUGGGGAAAAUGAGAUGACACCAUUUUUAGAAGAAAUUUGAGGCUUCAUAGAGAAUGUGAGUUUGUUAUGGAAAGGCAGACAUUCUUGGCAAAGCGCUGACAUGAUUAUUCCAAAAAAUUUCUCGAUAAAAGAGUUCCUUGAAAAGUUUGGUUUUGAGAAAGAAAUGGGGCUAAAGCAUUUGAAAGAAUCCAAGAUACCCCUGACUGUCUGUUCGACAUUUUUGGAUGUUCAGAUGCUUUUAUACGACAUCUAGAGGUGUUCUCCUCACAUGCUUCUUGGAGUGAAAAGAGGGUAUUCGCCUUUUCGGUUUGUAUCCUCGGCUCCUAGUAUUUCCCCGAGGAGCAAAACAGGAGAUUCACACCCGACUUGUCAUGGUUGCUGAUGAAUUAUUUAAUGGCAUUGAUGGAAAGCCAUACAACAUAGUGUCGAUGGUUGUUGUAGAUAUAUACCGAGCUUUGGGCCUUUACAAGAAGGGAUUUAAACAUUUUGAGGGAUGUAAUUUGUUGCUACAGUUGUAGUUUAUGGGGCCAUCUUCGAAAGAUCAGUGGAAGCCAAGAGCUUUACAAGAAAAACGGUGCUAAUCAUAUCACUUCAUACACGAUCCCAGUGGUUGCAUUCAUAAGAGGGAUUAAUAUGGGAGGCCGAAUCAAAGAUAAGGCAACAGAAGCUGAAAUCAAGUACCGUUGGUUGAAAAGAAGGGUGUCCGAGUCUGAAGCAAAGCACAAGGAGCAGCAUGAGAAGGACACCAAAGAGAUUGAAAUGUUGACACAACAAGAAGAAAUAUAGAAGCAACAAAUAGAAAUAUGGAAACAACAAGCUAUGGAAAUGGAGCAAGGACUCAAAUAUUUGGAUGGAGACCUCGAGAAGUAGAUCAUAGAAUGCUAUUGCCAAGGACUCGAUGAAGGAGGAAAGUUAGCCAUGGUUUACCUUGUGAAGAAUCGCCAGAAAAUCGACAAGGCAAUAAGAGCAGCGAAGAGGCUAAGGGGCAAUGAAGAACCAUCCUUAGUCAAUUAGAUUAGAACUAUGUUGUAAUCUUUAUUUCAAUUAUGGCUAAGCCAUUGUAAUCGUUUUAGACUAAGACAAUGUUAGUAUUUCUCUUUUCAUUUAUGUACUAAGACUCAAAUCAUCGAUGAAAGUUUAUUUUGGGGUAUCUAAUUAAGGAGCAAUGGAAUCAUAUAAAAUGGUGUGUCUAUCUCUCAAAUUUUCGAUAGGCCUACCUCUGGCACAAAGAGGUCCCGUGCAUACUAGGACACGCUUAUCAUUGCUUGACUUGUUUGUAUUAUUAUGUGAUUUGUUUGUUAUGUGAUAUACUUGCUUUUAAAUUUAAUCACCCCUUACUAACAUUGUCUUUUAUUUUCUUUUUAAAGGUUUUCUAUUUUAUUGCUCCCCAAGGUUGAUUUGUGUUGACUGCGAACUGGAUGAACACCCAUACUUCACGAGAUCUAAGGCACAAGCAGCUACCAACAUGACUGGUUCAAACACAUCUAAUAUGACAGGCUUGGGACUUGUCACCGUUUAACGAGACGAACCCGAGGCUCAGAAGGAAGGGAGGUUACUCUUCGUGAUGAGCACAUUGCCUAGUUAUCGCAACAAGUGGCUAACCUGCAAGGUAAAACUGAACAGCUUUGGAACCUUACCAAUCUUUAUAUUAGCCUCAACACACCACUUCCCAAAGAAAGGACAAAUGCACCUAUCCCACCACCUUUCCCAUCGUUUGACUCACCUAUCCCGAAACACCUUCCACCAAACCCUCUACUUCACAACAACAAGCCAGCAUCUACUAACGCACAUGCUAACCCGCAACAAGCCAACCCAUCGACUUUCAACACAUCAUAUGUUUCCUAACCACCACUAGCCCAAAGCACCACGCUCACCCAAAACCACUAUGUAACCCAACACAUACCGAUGGCACACGUCGCUAUUCCUAACAUGCAGCAUGUGUCGCCAGUAUAUGUAGCGGAAGCACAACCUUUUACUACCCCUAUGCCUUACCAACUUCACUCCAAAGUGUAUCAGUAUCAGGAAGCAGAAACAAAAGUAAGGGCCAAAGCCGACGAGUAUAUGGCGAAGGAGAUCCGUGAGUUAAAGGAAGCAUUCAAAAGUCUGAAAACCAUAAGGAGUAUGGAAGGUUUGGAGUAUGAGGAUCUAUGUGUUCAUACCGAUGUCGAUUUACCCGCAGGAUAUAAAGUACCAAAAUUUGACAUGUUUGAUGGAAAAGGAAACCCACGAGCUCAUUUGAGGUCGUAUUGUGAUAAGUUAGUUGGAGUGGGAAAGGAUGAAGCUAUCAGGAUGAAACUUUUAUAAGGAGUCUUACAGGAUAAGCCCUUGAUUGGUACACAAGUCAAGAGUCACAGAAAUGGCGCAGCUGGAGUGUCAUGGCACAAGAAUUCAUGGAUAGAUUCAGAUUUAACACCGAGACCAACCCAGAUAGAUUCUAUUUGAUAAAGUUGGAGAAGAAAACAACAGAAUCCUUUAGAGAGUAUGCCAUGAGAUGGAGGGCAGAAGCAGCAAAAUUCCAACCCCCGAUGGGAGAGGAUGAUAUGACAACUACUUUUAUUCGAUCUCAAACGGAUGGAACAUACUAUGAGAGAUUGAUAAGCAUGCUGGGGUAGAAAUUCUCGAAAGUUGUUUGGAUGGGAGACGAUAUAGAGGAAGGUCUCAAAUCUGGAAAGAUUACAAACUUGGCAGCACUACAAGCAACGAGUAAGGCAAUCCAGUCAGGAACUAUUGGAGGAGCAAGUAAGAAGAAGGAGAAAGAAGUAUCUGUUGUUAUGACCAUCCAAAACCGCAGGCCUAACCAAAUGUUAACCUACCAAAACUCGUUACCUCAACCUUCAUACUAUAGCCCAUACACGCAAACUCCUCAACCUUAUUACCAACCUUCACCCAUUCCCUAUCCUGUUUAUAAUGCUCAACAAACCUAUUAUCUACACCGAGCACCCACAUACCCGAAUCCAUCACAUUACCAACCCACAUAUCCAUCUCAACCCCACUACCAAUCACAAAACCGCCCAAAUGCACCUAGACCUCGCCCGAGCUUUGAAAGAAAACUAGCCAAAACCUAUACACCCCUAGCUGAACCUUUAGCCUAGUUGUAUGAAGGUUGAAAGCCGCAGGAGUACUCCAACCGUUCUAGGAAGAGUUCCCGACCCCCUCCCAGGAUGGUAUGAUGGGACCAAACAUUGUGCGUAUCACUCUGGUGUGACGGGACAUGACACACAAAAUUGCCUUACUCUCAAAGAUAAGAUUGAAAAGUUGAUCAAAGCAGGAACCAUUCAGCUUAAGGGAGCUCCCCCGAAUGUGAACAACAACCCUCUUCCAAAUCACGAUGAUACCGGUAUUAACAUGAUAUCUACUGAUGAAGAUUGGAAUUUGGAAGGAACAAUUGUACCAAUUGAAGAUGAGAAAAAGGCUGUGUCAUCUGCCUUCAUUGCUCCUGUCAUCACAGUGCAAGUGCGAGCACCAAUUGAGGUGGAAGUACUCCCUCCGAAACCCAGGAUCAUGGCUCUAGUUGCUCAGAAACCCUCAUUUGAAACCAAAGCAGUUCCUUAGGACUAUCAGUCUGAUGUAAGGAACAAAGGAAAGGCAAAAUUAGUUGUAGAAGCUGCUGCUGCAGGUAUGACAAGAUUCGGUCGGUGUUAUGUUCCUGAAGAAGCAUCACGAGGAAGAAGAAGAAGAGUUUUGGAGAAAAAUGCAAUGUAGCGGAUACUUUGUUGUAGACCAACUGAAGAAGACGCCAGAUCAAAUUUCCCUCAUGUCAUUAUUGAUGAGUUCUGACAGCCACAAGAAUGCUUUGGUAAAAGUACUCAAUGAAGCAUAUGUGCCAGCCGAGAUAACUAGUGAACAUUUGGAAUCUAUGGUAGCCCAAAUUUUAGAAGCCCAUAAGAUUUCUUUUCAUGAGGAUGAAUUGCCACCUGAAGGUCUAAGUCACAACAAAGCUUUGCAUCUCACUGUCAAGUGCAGGGACAAGUUUGUUUCUAGGGUUUUGAUCGAUAAUGGUUCUGCAUUCAAUAUAUGUCCUUUCACUACCCUCAAAGCUUUGGGAAUUGAUAUUGGAAAAGUUCGUGAAUGUCAUGUGAAUGUUAGAGCUUUUAAUGGAGCGCAAAGGAGUGCUAUUGGUGAAAUUGACUUAGCAUUACAAAUUGGGCAUGUGGAGUUUAUCAUUGAAUUUCAAGUGUUAGAUAUAUCUGCUACUUAUAAUUUGUUGUUGGGAAGGCCGUGGAUACACAUGGCUGGUGCAGUCCCUUCCACUUUGCACCAGAACGUGAAGUUUGUGUGGAGUCACCAGGAGGUUGUGAUUCAUGGAGAAGCAAGCAAUCCCAUUUACCCCAAGAAUUCAAUCCUUGUCAUCGAAAGUGUGGAGAGGCUGGAUGGACCCACUUUCCACAUUGAAGAAAUUGUGACUGCUACUCGAGGUAAAGAGAUAAAGUUGCCAAGUGUGUUCAUGAUGGUGGCAUCAGAAAUGUUGAAGAAUGGUUUCGAGCCUGGUCGAGGAAUUGGAGCAAGGUUGCAUGGAAUAGUGGAGCCAAUUCAGUUACCGGGACAGAACAACAUAUUUGGCCUAGGGUACGAACCCACUCCAAAAUAAGUCUUGGAGGCUCGUCUCAAGAAGAAACGUGACAUUGUCCUACCACAGCCUAUCCCGCCGCUAAGCCAGUCAUUCCCCAAGAUAAUUACUAUUCAUGAGCUAGAUGAAGAUGCUGAAGACGACCUCGUUGAAGGAAUCAAGAACCUAUUUAUUACCAACUGCAACGUGAUUUUGAAGGAUUGCACUGAGGCGCGAACUAUUUGGGAUGCCGCACCUGGAGAUGUUUUGAACAAUUGGACUUGUACCCCGUCCUCGGUUCACCGGGAGUCUUGGUAGAUGGAUUGUAUUAGUAGUUGUUUUCAAAAAAUGAUUCAAAAUUGAGGCCUGAAUCGUGUCUAUGAUUUUUAUGUUGUUUGCCUCGAUCUUUUGGAAGCUUAAAUGCAAAAUUUGAAUAUACUUUUUCACUUUACAUUUAAAUUUUUGUCUUUAUUAAUUUUCUUUCUUUUUAUUGUGUUUUUCAGCAAACAAAUUAAUAAAAAUGCCGACAUCGUGAAUGUGACAUGUAAUGAAACAAGUGAACAAAAUAACAAGAAAGAUCUUGAAGAAUAUGAAGAAGAUGUGCUGCCUGCAGAAUUAACUAAAGAACUUGAGCAGUUUGAGAACAAGUCAAAACCAAAUUUGGAUGAAACUGAGCAUAUAAAUUUGGGGGAUUCAGAGUCUAUAAAAGAAACAAGAAUUAGUGUCCAUUUGACACCAUCAGAAAAAGAGAAAUAUGUGGAUCUUUUAGACAAUACGUCAAUGUGUUCGCUUGGUCGUAUGAUGACAUGCCUGAUUUAAGCACUAAUAUUGUUUCCCAUAAGUUGCCAACGGAUCCAUCUUGUCCCCCAGUAAAGCAAAAAACAAGAAAAUUCAAAACGGACUUAAGUUUGAAGAUCAAAGAAGAAGUCUCCAAGCAAUUUAAGGCAAAUGUCAUCCGAGUCACGAAGUACCCCACCUGGUUGGCCAAUAUAGUACCAGUACCAAAAAAGGAUGGGAAGAUCAGAAUAUGUGUGGAUUAUCGGGAUCUCAACAAGGCUAGUCCAAAGGAUGAUUUCCCACUUCUGAAUAUUCACAUACUCAUUCAUAAUUGUGCAAAGCAUAAGUUGCAGCCAUUCGUUGAUUGCUUUGCCGGUUACCACCAAAUUUUGAUGGAUAAAGAUGAUGCUAAGAAGACAACGUUUAUCACACCUUGGGGGUGUAUUGUUAUUGGGUAAUGCCUUUUGGACUCAAGAAUACAGGUGCUACAUACAUGAGAGCUAUGACAACUAUUUUUCAUAACAUGAUCCAUAAAGAGAUUGAGGUCUAUGUGGACGAUGUCAUCAUCAAGUCACGGAAGAGUUCAGAUCACUUGGUAGACCUAAAGAAGUUCUUUGAUAGGUUGCAGCGAUAUAAUUUGAAGUUGAAUCCCACAAAGUGUGUAUUCGGAGUUCCAGCUGGAAAAUUAUUAGGUUUCAUUGUCAGUAGAAGAGGCAAAGAGUUGGAUCCUUCAAAGAUAAAGGCUAUCCAAGACCUUCCACCUCCAAAGAAUCGGAAGGACGUGAUGAGCUUCCUUGGUCACCUUAACUACAUCAGUCAUUUCAUAGCCUAAUCAACAGUGAUUUGUGAGCCGAUAUUCAAGAUGCUGAGGAAAGAUACCACUACCAAAUGGACAGAGGAAUGUCAACGAGCUUUUGAUAGGAUCAAGGAAUAUUUAUUUAACCCACCAGUGUUGGUACCUCCGGAACUUGGAAGGCCGUUGUUGUUAUACAUGUCCAUAUCAGAUAAUGCAUUUGGAUGUGUUUUGGGGCAACAUGAUGAAACUGGGAGGAAGGAACAAGUCAUAUACUACUUGAGAAAGAAAUUCAUACCAUAUGAAGCAAGAUAUACUUUGUUGGAACGUAUCUGUUGUGCCUUAAAUUGGGUUGCACAAAAGUUGAGGCAUUACUUCUCAGCAUACACUACUUAUCUCAUUUCCAGGAUGAACCCGCUCAAGUACAUCUUUCAGAAACCUAUGCCUACAGGAAAGCAGGCGAAGUGGCAUAUUUUGCUAAGUGAGUUUGACAUCGUGUAUGUUACUCAGAAGGCCAUCAAAGGACAAGCUUUAUUUGACCACCUUGCAGAAAAUCCUGUGGAUGAAGAAUACAAGCCACUUAGGACAUACUUCCCAGAUGAAGAAGUAUUAUUUGCUGGAGAAGACAUUUUAGAGGCAUAUUCUGGUUGGAGAAUGUUCUUUGACGGAGCCGCAAACUUCAAAGGAGUCGGAGUUGGAGCAGUAUUAGUUUCAGAAUCUGGAUAACAUUAUGCAAUCUCAGCAAAACUUCGUUUCCGUGCACCAACAACAUGGCAGAAUAUGAGGCUUGUAUACUUGGUCUUAGAAUGGCUGUUGAUAUGAACAUCCAAGAGUUGUUGGUUAUAUGUGAUUCAGACUUGCUGAUUCAUCAAGUACAAGGCGAAAGGAAUACAAUGAACACAUAAAACCUACCGUACUUAUAUUGUGUAAAGGAGUUGUGUAAGAAGUUUAUCAAAGUGGACUUCAAGCAAGUUCCAAGAGUUCAAAAUGAGUUUGCAGAUGCUUUGGAAACUUUGACUUCCAUGAUUCAACAUCCAGAUAAAAACUACAUAAACCCCAUCAAGGUGAAUGUGCAAGAUUAACCAGUUUAUUGUUUCCAUGUGGAUGAAGAGUCAGACGGAGAACCAUGGUAUUAUGACAUUAAGAGGUAUCUCAAGACAAGGGAUUACCCUGAAAGAAGCAACCAUUACCCAGAAGAGAACGCUUAGGAGAUUGGCAAAUCACUUUUUCCUAAACGGCAAAAUCCUAUAUAGGAGGACCCCAAAUUUAGGACUGUUGAGGUGUGUAGAUGCCAGGGAAGCAACCAAGCUGAUUGAAGAAAUACACGCAGGAACAUGUGGGCCUCACAUGAAUGGGUUUACCUUGGCAAAGAAAAUUCUGCGAGCAGGUUACUUUUGGAUGACCAUGAAAACAGAUUGCAUUCAUUUUUUACAGUAAUGUCAUUAGUGUCAGAUCCACGGUGAUUUGAUUCGAGUCCCACCAAAUGAACUCAAUGUGACGAGUUCUCCUUGGUCGUUUGCAGCUUGGGGCAUGGAUGUCAUUCGCCCUAUUGAGCCAGCCGCCUCGAAUGGGCAUAGAUUUAUCUUGGUAGCUAUUGAUUACUUUACAAAGUGGGUAGAAGCCUCUUCUUACAAGCCAGUUACAAAGAAGGUGGUACAGAUUGUCCGCAACAACAUCGUUUGCCGAUUAAGAAUUCCUGAGUCAAUCAUCACAGAUAAUGGAGCCAAUCUCAAUAGUGACUUGAUACAAGAAAUAUGUGAUGAGUUCAAGAUUACACACCGAAAUUCCACUCCCUACCGACGUCAGAUGAAUAGAGUCGUUGAAGCAGCCAACAAGAACAUAAAGAAGAUAUUGCGGAAGAUGAUUGAUAACUAUAGGCACUAGCAUGAGAAGCUACCAUUUGCUCUCCUUGGAUAUCGCACUACAGUCAGAAUAUCAACUGGGGCAACGCCUUAUCUUAUGGUCUAUGGAACUGAAGCCAUAUUACCAGUGGAAGUUGAAAUAUCAUCUUUGAGGGUCAUCCAGGAAGCCGAGCUGAGUAAUGCAGAAUGGGUAAAGAAUCGGUACGAACAACUUAUGUUUAUUGACGAGAAGAGAAUGAAUGUUUGCCAUGGUCAACUCUAUCAAAAUAGGAAAGUGAAACCACGUUAGUUUAAACUGGGGCAACUGGUUUUGAAGCGCAUAUUCCCGCACCAAAAUGAAGCUAAAGGAAGGUUUGCACCAAAUUGGCAAGAUCCAUACAUGGUGCAUCGAGUAUUGACUGGAGGAGCACUGAUUCUAGCAGAAAUGGAUGGAGAAUUGUGGCCCAAGACCAUCAACACAGAUGCAGCCAAGAGAUACUAUAUUUAGAGGCAUAUCUAGCAACCUCUUUCUUUUCUAUGUAAUGCUUCUUAAUGUAAAUGAACUACGUUUGACCUGAUUCCCGUUUAAGAGGGAAUACAUAGGCAGCCCUGUGGGUUCGGUCUCAUCAUAAUAAAAAUUCAAUAUUUCCCCCAAAUUGGAAAUUGGGGCAACUUUUGAAGGCAUCAUCAUAAGGAGGCAUCAGUCAUCGACAAAGGAUGGUCAAGCAAGAUGAAUGACGGGAUUCCAGAUGAGGACGUUCACUUUGUUUCAAGAGCAUGUCACAAUGCAGAAUUCGGCAAUAACUUUAUUUUAUAAAAUUUAUGCAUAUUUUAUUUAUUAAAAUAGGAUUUUUCAUCAAAAUUUCUUAACUAUUCGUUCGCCAAGAUUCAAUGUUGGGUGGAGGUUACAAGUCCAAACAAAGUGGGAAGCACAAGAUUAUCAAAGGCCAGAGCAUCAAAGUCAACACGGAUCAACAUUCCCCCCAAAACUCACAAUUGUUUCUUUGAGUGCAGAUUUUAAAGAUAGAGGAAGCAGAAGAAUCAAUAACGAAUAUAAAUAUCAAGAGCCUUCGUCAAGAGGUUUGAAUUUUUUAUAGUACUUUAUAGAAAAUUACACCUUUUGAAUGAUGAUGAUCUUUAAAAUCCAAGUUUGAGAUUUUUCUAAUGAUGAUUUUGGAAUCUUACAAUAUUUUUUAAUACAUUGAUUGUCAUUACUUUUCAGCUACUAAUUUUUUUUAUAAAUGCAAACUACAUGGCACACGGCUUUAAAUAUAUUGCACAUAAACAUUUAAAUACACUGCACCAUUGCUUUCAAAUACACUGCAAAUGCACUGCACAAAUGCUUUCAAAUGCAUUGCACCAUUGUUUUUGAAUGCACCAUUUCCUGCAAAAUGCAUAAUAUAAAUGCUUUUAAAUGCACUGCACUUUUGCUUUCAAAGGCACUGCAAAUGCACUGCACAAAUGCUUUAAAAAGUACCAUUGCUUGCAAAUGCACGAUGCAAAUACUUUCAACUACACUGCACCAUUACUUUUAAAUGCACCACACAAUUGCCUUGCAAAUGCACCACAAAUAUUUUCAUUACCUUAAAUCAUUUGGCUUGGAAUACCUCAUCAGUCAUUUGGCUUAAACGCCUCAAUUUCUUCAUCAUUUGGCUUAAAUGCCUCAUUUUCAUCAAUCAUUGGCUUAAAUGCCUCAUUUUUAUCAAUCAUACAUAAGUCAUCGCUGAAAGGCACCAUUUACAUGAAUCAUUGGCUCAAAGCCUCAUUUCAUUAGUCAUGAUCAAAGAAUUAUUUUUAAUAUACCUGGCUUAUUUUAUGAUAAAUUAAUGGCUUAGAGGUGUCACUUUAAUGAAAUUAUUGUUAUGACUUAUCGCAUUUUUAUAUCUCGUUUACUAGUAAUUUUACCUAACCUAUUGAGUUUAGCAGGAAAUUUAGCACAACGUGGAACUCUAUCUAAGCAGCGGACUGGAAUAUUUUGCUGGGGAGGAAACCAGACUCGCCAGCAAAAGUCAAAGGUCUACUUUCGGAUUCUGUUCGGCUUGACUACCAAAAUCUUACCCAAAAUCCUUAUUUCGACACAUUUUCUUUCAAUCAUGAUUCCCAGUGUCUUACACCUUGUGUCUCCAUAAUUCGACACUAAGGCAAUAUUUUAGGAUCCGCAUCAAUCAUUAAAUCCUACUCCAUAGCACCAUCAGUCUGGAAUUACAUAUGGCUUGAUUCUCGUGAAACCCAAGAUAUGUAGGCAACUCGAAACCAGAGUUCGACCCUAAUCAUUUUUUUUAUCUCCCUUUUGCCCCAUUUCAACCUUAAUGGUCGGGACAAAAUUGGCUACUACAUCAAUUUCUUUGCCCGAAAACUCUUUCAUCAUUUUUGGUCAAAGAGGGGCAGCUGUUGAUACCCAAUUUUGUCCUACCUUUCUUCUGAUUAAUUUUCUAGUGCUCCCUAGUCAUUAAUAGUUUCAUGCCCUAUCUUAAUUAUUUCUUACCUUUUAUUACUAUUAUUGUUAUAGUUAUUGAAGUGAUUAGUCUAUUAUUAUUAUUAUUAUUAUUAUACACAUUGGAGGCAUAUACCUUAGUUUUAUACACAUUAUAUAUAUAUAUUUAAUUAAUUUAAUAUAUAAAUAUAUAUAUGUGAUGCACAUAAAAUACACAUUAAAUAACACAACAUAUAUAGUACUAUAUUAUACACAUAUUUUUGGAGUUUCGUAGAGUUUUUGAAAGACAUGUUUAUUUUUUUUAUGGUUGCUAUUUUAAAAUGGUCAUAGUUAAAAGAUUUUGAAUUAUCAAGAAUAAUUUAUAGUGGAUAUAAAUUUCAAUCAAAUCGUGCCAAUCGGUUUGUGUAAUUAGCACGAUGAAUUAUUUUCAAGUUGUUUGCAAAUACACAAUUUUAAUUUUAAUCCAUACACCUCUACCACUUCUCUAAGUCUUCGAAUUCCCUUAAAGGAAGAAAGUUAUUGAAAAUAAUCAUGAAUUUUGAGAGAGAUUCAACAAUUAAUUAGAAGUGAUAUUUGUGGGGAGAAAGAAAUCCAUAUUUGGAUAAGUUUAUUACUCAACAUAAUUUUAUUUUAAAAGAUAUGAUAUAUUAGUUUUACUGCUACAAAUAUGUUAUAUUUACUUAUUAUUGUUUAUUUAUGAAAUUUUUAUUGAGUCCAAGUUAUUAAGAUAUCAGAGCAAAAUUAAAUUAAUUGGAAGGAGGAAAGUGCCAUGGUUUUCGGCCCAAGCAAAGCCUUUACAUCACCACCUUUCAGUAGCCCAUCACUUCUCAAUAGCCCAAUAACAGAUCUAACAGCCCAUCUUUUCCAUAACCUAAAUCUCCUAACCUCUCUCUAUCUCCCCCAAAACAGACGCCCCACUCCCUUCUCCAUUUUCAGAAAACCUCCAAGCUCUUAUAUCUUUCAAGCAGAGGAAUGACGCACCAUUUUUUUGCAAAAGGGUCUCUCUACUCUCAUUACGUAUCUAAAUAUUCCAAAGGAUAUUCCUUUUCCUCUUUCUGCCAAUUCGGGUAAGGACUGUAACAAAUCACGCCUUUUUGACCAAAUCACGUGAUGUCUGCAAAGUCCGUCCAAAAAAGAUCAACGAUCAAAUUUAAAACGUUCAUUUUGAAUGAAAAAUCAAAAAUCAAGAAUCCCGCCCAACUAACCCUAGAGAGCCCUAAUUCAUCUCCGAUAAAUACCAAACUUGGUGGAGAUUUUCAGCAACUUUUGAACCCACAUUCUCUGAUUUCUUACUCAUUGGAGCCACGCUUUAAGGGCUCGUUUUGGUCACCCCCUACUGGUCUCGUUUUAUCGAACUAGAGGCGGCGGCGUAAUCGUUUUGGAAUUUGACGAUUGUUCGAGGUUGCGGAGUAGAGGCCGAAGAUAGUAAACCUUGACACGACCCCAGUUCCUGCACCGCAAAAGGUCAGUUUUUCCUUUUAAGUUUUAGUCGCUCUUUAUUUUUAUUAAGUAUAAAGUUGUUGUUUUCUUAUCCGGUAGAAUCAUGUGUUAGUCCCUUUUUGUUUUGUUAUAGAAGUUCAUGGUUCAGUUGCUUUCUUUGUAUAAAUCAUGCAUACAAAAAUUUGUUUGGUUCACCCAUGAAGCAUAUUCAUAAGAUGCCGCUAUUUUCAUACUAACUAGGAAUUAAAAAGUUUCACGUUAAAACUUGAUCUCAAAAACUAAUUUAAUCCCUAUCUAUCUCUGUCCGAUUCAAUUUCAUUAAAAGAGGAGUAGAUCCGAAGCCUUAAGAGCACCAGGGUCACUGUUCCAAUAAAAGUUAGAUCUGAACCUGCUAUUCUGUAUUUAUUACUUUAAGUAACAUAUUAGAAAUCAUGAUUUAGAGUUCAUUUGUGUAUAGAAAUUAUGUCUUUAAGGAAAUUAGUUUCUGGGCGAGAGGUAUUUGCAUUAUGAGUGAUAAUAUUCCAUAAAAAUGCUAGCUGUUUUUUUUGCCAAAAGUUACCAUGUGUUUUAUCAUUUAUAAAUGUUGUAGAAGUUUUAUCGUGUGUUUUUUUUCUAUUUUUUAGUUCUUGCAGCAGAGAUUCAUGCCUUAAAUUAUGCCAGAAUCAUGACUAUAGUAACCUAUUGCCUUGCAUAGAUAUGUCGAAAGGCAACAUGUUCUCUAGCUGUUAGGAUUCAUUACAAGUUUGAACCUUUAGAUGGAAGCCAUGUUCAUCCACUGUGUGUAUAUAAAAAAUAUCUCAUUUUAGUUCGUGAUUAAGAACUAUUUCUAAAAAAAACCUUAUUAUAACCAUAGAUGGAUUUUUCUUACAUUUUGAGAAAUCAUAUUUUCAAGAAAAGGGUAGUAUCAAUUUGAAAUAUAUGUGUACAUGUAUAAGAUAUUCAUAUAGAUUAUUAAAGUAUCUGUUAGAAUCCAUGCUAAUAGACAAAUUGUAGCUUCAUUUGAUAUUAUGUUAUGAUUACAUGUGGUUUAUGAUCUUGUCAAAUGACUGGUUUAUGUGGUAGAAUAGCAUUAAGUCUUGUUAAGCAUUUGUCUUAUUUGAGGUAGUGUUAGUUUAAGUUAGAAAGAAAACCUUCAGCUAUUUUGUUGUAUAACGUGUCUAAUAGUUUAUUGUUUACCAGAAGUAUAUUCUAAAACUCUAACCUGUAUCAGUUUAAUCACCUGGAUGUAAAUAUUUAUAUAGGUUUAUGUAGGAACUUACUAUUGAAAACCUUUUCUCUAAGGCUUGAUGCUAAAAGUUUUGUUUGGAAUUCUAUUGUCUGAUAUAAAAGAAGCCUGCAGCCUAAAAGGGUUUUGACAAUAUGAAAGCUAAUUUGGGUUUUACAAAAGAUUUAUGUGAUUAUUCUACUCAUUUCGAACACUAAAGUUUUAAGACUAUUUUUACUAAUCUUUAUUCUCUAUUUUUUUUAUUUGCAUGUACACUUCGGAGCGACCUAGAGUCUUAAUGCAAGACUCAUCCUACCCGCAUAUAGUUAUCACAAACUAUCUUCUUUAAUCGCAUUAGACAAGAAGAAAACAAGCAAAUUUGUUUGGGGUCGCCUAUGGCGGAUUUCAUUAUUCUUUACUUACUUUGUCUAAAUUUCGUUAGUUUAUGUGAUUUGGUUUUGUGUGGAGUUUGUUUUAUUAUUGAUGAUUAAUUUUAUCGUGUAAAUUUAUAACCGUGAUUCUGGC